rnacentral:lncRNA from 1 species
GGGUGCUGAGAACCGAACUUAGAUCCUCUGCAAGAGCAGUGAGUAUUCUUAACUAUUGAGCCAUUGCUCCAGUCCACCAAAUGGAAUCUUAACUAGGACACACUAGUUCCAAGCAGCGAAUGUGUACAGGCAAUGGGAUAUUCCACAGGAGUGCUACCCCUGUCCUUGAGUGAUUGGCAAAUGAGGCUUAGGGUCUUCCUAUGAAUUCUAUACCUAUGCCGUUUUGUUCCACCAUGAAGCUUCACAGAAGGCUUGGGGAGAAGUACUGGAUAGAUCACUUCGUUAGCUUAUGAGUAAACUAAGCUGAAGCUAAAAAUCUUGCCAACACACAGGACAUGAGGACUCAUGUCUGUGUGGAUGGACAAAAUGAGCCAGGUAUUCUUGUCUUGCUCAACAGCCUUGCACUAUAUUUAAUAUGAAUCUGUAGAGUCAGUGUAAAAAACUAUCAUUGUACCCUUAUAUCCAGAAUACAGUGACCUUAUUGGGAGUUCAAAUCAAGUAGUUGAUUUAUAUAUGAUCCAGAUGUUAAUUUAAAUGAUAAAUUUAAAUUCAGGAGAUAAAUUGGCUAAAGGAUAUUUGUUAGGGAGUAUAUAUUUUUAAACGUUUAAUUAGAGUUUCUAUUUUAUCCUGAAUUAUAAAUUGCUCCAAAUAAAAACCUAUUUUAAUAAAUAGGCUUUAAAGAUUUAAGACAGCUUUUUUUUUCUCCAGGUGUAUAUAAUUGACAUAAAGCACAUGUAUUUGAAGCCUAUAAUUGGAUAAGUUUAACAUAUAUGUACACUCAGGAAAGUAUCACAUAGUAGAUGCUGAACAUGGCCAGUACCCUCUGGAGUUCACAGUCUUGUUUCCCCACUACCUAACCCUUUCAGAGACCCCUGGCCAGCCUGCUUUACAAAGUGAGUUCCAGGACAGCCAGGCUAUACAGAGAAAUCCUGUCUCAAAAAACCAAAAAAUUAAAAAAAAAUUUUAAAAAUUAAAAAAAUAAAUAAAGGUGUGUGCCAUCACAGGACUUCUUGUCUGGCUUUUUAAAAACACAGCAGUUCUUUCAGGUGCAUUGCUAGAGCACAUUCAGUGCUGUGUCUAUCUGUCCCUUCUUGGUUUUCACUAAGCUGUGAGGAGACUAUUAGUUUCUAGUUCUUGCUACUAGUAAUAUAGUAUGGAAUGACUCCAUUGCUUCUAAAUAAAUACCUAUAAUAGUAAAAUGGUUAGAACAUGCAGUGGGGGUAUUUUGUCUUUUAUGAAAUGAUUAAUCUGUUAUCUCUAAAGAUUAUACUUUUCUCUAUUCCCACAGGCCAAAUAUUUGCUGAGGGAGCUUGCUGUCUUCCCAGUCACUUGCUAUACUCAGUCUUUUGGACUUACAGUAUUUUCAUUGCUUAAGUAAUAAGCUUCACCAUGAUAUCAAUUGCAUUUUCUGAUACUGCAUUUAAAAUUUUUAUAUACUUACUUGCCAUCAAUUUCUCUUUGGAGAAAUCUCUGCUCAAAUCUUCAGUUCAUUGUAAUUAGUUUACUUUUCUUUUAUCAAGUUUUAGUGACUUUAUAUUUCAGUGCACUGGAUGUCAGUCUUGUAUUAGAUAUAUGAUUUGCAAAAAUUCCCCUCCGUUUAUGGCUUGUCAUAAUUCAUUUAAAUGUCUUUGAAAAACAAGUUUUUAAUUUUGGUGACACCAAUUUAUCUUUGUUUGUGUUUUUGCUCCUCUUAUGAAUUAUGCUAUUAUAAUUAUAUCUGACUUUUUUUUAAUCUAAAGGUGCAGCUGGACAGAUGGCUCAGUGGUUAAGAGCUCUUAACCGCUCUUGCAUAUCACCUGUGUUCAGUUCCAAGCACCCACACAGAGCAGCUCCCAGCCAUCUAUAACACAGGCUGCAGGGGACUUGACACAUUCUUCUUGUUCCUCCAAACAUCUGCACACAUGUGGCAUACACUCACACGCAUACACAUAAAUAAAAUAAAUCUACAUUUAAAACAUCUGAAGUAGUCACAAAGAUAUCCCCUGUUUUCUUCUAAGACAAUCAUAAUAUUAACAUUCACUUACACUUAAUUUUGUAUGUAUUGUGAUACUCAGAUCUUUGUGCCAAUUGAAAUUCAAGUUCCAGCGUCUUUUUAAAGAAAGAUAAGUUUUGUUAUAGCUUCAAAUUUAUGAAAACUCAAUUGAUCAUACAGGACCUAUUUCUGAAUUCUCAUUUUUGUUCCAUUGACCAAUUUACCUAUUUUUACCAGUGUUACACUCUCCUGGUUACUGUGACAUCAUAGUUUCAAAAAUAACUUGUCUGAGUCCUCCAACAUUACUGUUAUCCUGUAGAGGGUUUUUUUUUCCUUUUUUUUUUUAAUUGUAAAUUUUUAAAAUUCCCAUGAGAAUUUCAAAAGUGACUGAACCAUUCCUCAGCAAAAGAUCCUGCUGGAAGUUUUAUUGAAUUUGUAGAUCAGUCCAGGAAGAGUUGUGAUCUUAGCAUUGACAUGCGCUCUCUUUAUUUAAAUCAGCAGUUCUAAAGGGGCAUGACCCCUUUGGGGGUCACAUAUCAGAUACUUACAUUAAAAUUCAAAAUAGUAGCAAAAUUAGAGUUAUGAAGUAGCAGUGAAAUGAUUUUAUGGUUGGGGGUCAGCACAACAUGAGGAACUGAAUUAAAGGGCUGCAACAUUGGGAAGGGUGGGAACUGCUGGCUUAGGUCUUUUGAUAUUCUCCUUAGAAACAUUGCAUGUGGCUCAGGUUAUCUCAACAGAUUGAAAUCAGUUAUUUUGUUUCUUGAUAAUAUUGGAAAUGAUAUUUUUAUAUUGGUUUCCAAAUGUUCAUUGCUUCUAUCAAGGAAUCUAAUUGAUUUAGCAUGUGGGUGUUGUAUCCUGAAUGCAUCAUUAGAAGUCUCUUAUUCAUACUUUGCUUCUUUUUCUCCGCAGACAGCCUACUUAUUUAUGAACUUGGACGCUGUUCCUUCUUUUUUUUAUCCGUAUGUCUUUAUUUCGUCUUUAUCACUUUACUUCCCUAGUUAGACUCUCUGCACAAAAAUGAUUAGCUGUAACACAGAAAUGUCUACUUUGCUCUUGAUUUCAGAGGGAAGUUACUUUAUUAUCAAGAUAUUAACUCUAGAUUUUUGCAAAUAUUUUUUAUCGUAUUGAGAAAACUCCCCACUAUCCCUAAUUUCCUAGGGUUUUAAUUGAAAGUGGCUGUUGGGCAUUUUUCAAAACGUGUCUAUUAAGAUGGCCAUAUGUUUCUUUGAAAUAAUGUGGUGAAUUAUAGUGAUUGAUUUGGGGAUGUCAAACUGAUCUUGCAUUCCUGGGAUAAAGUGCAUUUGGCCUGCAAGAAAAAGCUUUUCAUACAGCUUGUAAAUUGUUUGGUAAAUUUUGUUAAUUUUGCAACAGCAUUCAUGAGCACUAGAAGUCUGUGGGGUUUUUUUGGUUUGUUUUUAAAUCCUUUGUCUGGUUUUGAUAUUUAAUGAGUACCAGUCUCAUAGUAUGAAUGUGGUUUCUCUUUUUUGAUUUUCCAGAAAAGUCUUUUCAGAGUUGUAUUUCUUUUUAAGCUUCAAAGACAAUUGCCCAGACAUAGGGACCUGAGGUAUAUUGUUGCUCUCUUGCUGAAAAGUUUUGUAACUAUGAAAUCAAUAGACAUAGGGAUUAUAUAUAUAUAUUUAAUGAACUUAGGACUUUGUCUUUCAGAGAAUGUGUCCUUUCAUCUAAGUUGUAGAAUAUACCAGAGUAAAACUUGAUU